UCCCAAGCUCCAAGGAUCAGUUGAUC
rnacentral:piRNA from 1 species